AAUGAUUGAGAAUAGGAACGGCUCAAGACGUUCACAACUAAGGCCAUGAAUAGCUAGGAAUUCCCUUUAAGAGCAAAGGUUUUAUCAUCAGACAGACCUACUUGCAGGGAUUAGCAUAUAUUGAGGCUGGGAAUUGUUUGCCAUAUCCCUAUUUCCUGGAUAGCUACUGUGAAGUCCUGCAGUGUUGUCACUUUCUUAAUUGGACUUGUGAAGGGCCCAGAAAACUCCGUGCAGGAUAUUGUGAACCAUAGCACUGAGAAUGUCAUGAUGCAGAUGGAAGCUCCUGAUACCAGUGGUCCAGUAGUGUAUUCUAAGUACAAAUACUUUUUGUCUUUUUUUUUUUUUUUUUUUUUUUUUUUUUUUGAGAUGGACUUUUGCUCUUGUUGCCCAGGCUGGAGUGCAAUGGUGCAAUCUCAG
rnacentral:lncRNA from 10 species